GCCUGUGUGGCUCAGUGGAUAGAGCAUCAGGCCGGGGCCUGAAGGGUUGCGGGUUCGAUUCCGAUCAAGGGCA
rnacentral:tRNA from 1 species